rnacentral:ribozyme from 1 species
UCUUGCGGGGUUCUCACUGGUGCUGGGGACGAAAAAAAAACAAAGCGUUAUUUUGGUUCAAUGGACUAUAAUGCGGAACGACAUGCUAGACAAAGCUCACAACACCGGGCGAACUGCCUACUG